GGUAGUAACACGUGGAUAACCUACCUAUAAGACUGGGAUAACUUCGGGAAACCGUAGCUAAUACCGGAUAAUAUUUUGAACCGCAUGGUUCAAAAGUGAAAGACGGUCUUGCUGUCACUUAUAGAUGGAUCCGCGCUGCAUUAGCUAGUUGGUAAGGUAACGGCUUACCAAGGCAACGAUGCAUAGCCGACCUGAGAGGGUUAUCGGCCACACUGGAACUGAGACACGGUCCAG
rnacentral:rRNA from 1 species